AGCGAACGCUGGCGGCAGGCCUAACACAUGCAAGUCGAACGAAGCCUUCGGGCUUAGUGGCGGACGGGUGAGUAACACGUGGGAACGUACCUUUUGGUUCGGAAUAACGCAGAGAAAUUUGCGCUAAUACCGAAUGAGCCCUUCGGGGGAAAGAUUUAUCGCCGAAAGAUCGGCCCGCGUUGGAUUAGGUAGUUGGUGUGGUAAAGGCGCACCAAGCCUACGAUCCAUAGCUGGUCUGAGAGGAUGAUCAGCCAAACUGGGACUGAGACACGGCACAGACUCCUACGGGAGGCAGCAGUGGGGAAUCUUGCGCAAUGGGCGAAAGCCUGACGCAGCCAUGCCGCGUGAAUGAUGAAGGUCUUAGGAUUGUAAAAUUCUUUUACCAGGGACGAUAAUGACGGUACCUGGAGAAAAAGCCCCGGCUAACUUCGUGCCAGCCGCCGCCGUAACAC
rnacentral:rRNA from 1 species